GGUUCCAUAGUGUAGUGGUUAGCACAUCUGCUUUGCAUGCAGAAGGGCAUGGGUUCAAGUCCCAGUGGAACCG